rnacentral:tRNA from 1 species
GGAGAGAUGGCAGAGCGGCUGAAUGCGGCGGUCUCGAAAACCGUUGAGCGUGUAACCCACGUUCCGGGGGUUCAAAUCCCCCUCUCUCCGCCA